ACCAUCUGGACUGUGGAGGACGACAGUACAAACACCUGCUGAACUACCUGCUUUUGCCCUCGCUUCUUCUCUCAUCUCUUCUGACCGACUGACCGACCACCACAAACGGACCCUUCUCCUUGUAUCGAUGAACAACACCCGUACAGACUGCGACGGCCUCCCGUUGCCCCCAGUCACUACAUACAGAGGGAACAACAA
rnacentral:ribozyme from 1 species